UGGGCAAGUAUGGACACAACAUUCAAGCUGGAUUCAGCUCUAAAUUUGGAUUGUGAUUAAAUAGUUGACACAGCAUAGGUUUCUGACACAGAAUGAAUGUGUUCAUAUGAACUUAAAAUUUUUAUUUUCUCUUAGAGCAAUUCACUAUGCUGUUGAAUAUUAAUCCUCUCAAAAAAAUGUUUGAAGAAAUUUUCUUUUUAUUUAUGAAAUUUCAAAU
rnacentral:lncRNA from 1 species